UACAGAGGGUGCAAACGUUGCUCGGAAUCAUUGGGCGUAAAGCGCACGUAGGCGGUCCAGCAAGCGGGGAGUGAAAGCCCUCGGCUUAACCGAGGAAGUGCUUUCCGAACUACUGGACUUGAGUACUGAAGAGGGUCGCGGAAUUCCCGGUGUAGAGGUGAAAUUCGUAGAUAUCGGGAGGAACACCAGUGGCGAAGGCGGCGACCUGGGCAGAUACUGACGCUGAGGUGCGAAAGCGUGGUGAGCAAACAGG
rnacentral:rRNA from 1 species